GUUGAGGCGAGUUGAAGACUAA
rnacentral:miRNA from 5 species